rnacentral:rRNA from 1 species
CCAGACUCCUACGGGAGGCAGCAGUGGGGAAUAUUGCACAAUGGGGGGAACCCUGAUGCAGCGACGCCGCGUGGGUGAAGGAGUACUUCGGUACGUAAAGCCCUAUCAGCAGGAAAGAAAAUGACGGUACCUGACUAAGAAGCCCCGGCUAACUACGUGCCAGCAGCCGCGGUAAUACAUAGGGGGCAAGCGUUAUCCGGAUUUACUGGGUGUAAAGGGAGCGUAGACGGCAGUGCAAGUCCGGAGUGAAAGCCCGGGGCUCAACCCUGGGACUGCUCUGGAAACUGCCGGGCUGGAGUGUCGGAGGGGCAGGCGGAAUUCCUAGUGUAGCGGUGAAAUGCGUAGAUAUUAGGAGGAACACCGGUGGCGAAGGCGGCCUGCUGGACGACGACUGACGCUGAGGCUCGAAAGCGUGGGGAGCAAACAGGAUUAGAUACCCCGGUAUA